CCUCCUGGCUCGGAAUGGCAGGUUCCUGCACCUCCUAGGCAUGCCGCUGGGGCCCUUGGUGGCUUCAGACCACAGAGCAGGCUGCUCAACUCCUUGGAGAGGUCUGUGACUGUGACUGCUCGGCAGCAUUAAGGAAGGCAUCACAGCAUCACUAAUCAGAUACCUGAUUGCUUUGCUCCCUCCCUUCGUGCUGAUCUAUGGAGUUGACAGUGACAGGAGGAAAAAGACCUCAGCACCUAAGAUGCAAAGUGUCGUGAGAGUCGCACAGAAGAGUCAAGAGGAGAGCUUCUGGAACCAAAAUCUCCUGGUAAAAGGUUUUCACUUCUAGAGAUAUAAACAUGAGAUGCAGAAGAGGGAAAGAACUGGGAGAAUCCCACGAGUAUAUAGUUGCUACUCUUCAUCCCCCAAUCAACUUUUAUCGAAAAAGAAAAUUAUAAAAAUUUGAAACAUAUAAAUAAAAGAUGGGGUAG
rnacentral:lncRNA from 1 species